rnacentral:rRNA from 1 species
AGAGUUUGAUCCUGGCUCAGAUUGAACGCUGGCGGCAGGCCUAACACAUGCAAGUCGAGCGGAUGAGUGGAGCUUGCUCCAUGAUUCAGCGGCGGACGGGUGAGUAAUGCCUAGGAAUCUGCCUGGUAGUGGGGGACAACGUUUCGAAAGGAACGCUAAUACCGCAUACGUCCUACGGGAGAAAGUGGGGGAUCUUCGGACCUCACGCUAUCAGAUGAGCCUAGGUCGGAUUAGCUAGUUGGUGAGGUAAAGGCUCACCAAGGCGACGAUCCGUAACUGGUCUGAGAGGAUGAUCAGUCACACUGGAACUGAGACACGGUCCAGACUCCUACGGGAGGCAGCAGUGGGGAAUAUUGGACAAUGGGCGAAAGCCUGACGGAGCGACGCCGCGUGAGCGAA